rnacentral:rRNA from 1 species
UACGUAGGGUGCGAGCGUUAAUCGGAAUUACUGGGCGUAAAGUGUGCGCAGGCGGCCAUGCAAGUCGAGUGUGAAGGCCCCGGGCUUAACUUGGGAAUUGCGCUCGAAACUACGUGGCUGGAGUGUGGCAGAGGAAGGUGGAAUUCCACGUGUAGCGGUGAAAUGCGUAGAGAUGUGGAGGAACACCAAUGGCGAAGGCAGCCUUCUGGGCCAACACUGACGCUCAUGCACGAAAGCGUGGGGAGCAAACAGG